rnacentral:misc_RNA from 1 species
GUCUCUGAAGCCACCGUCGUCACCACCUCUGUCACCUCAGCGACGGCUGCCAUCCGUACUUCAUUGGGUAGUUCUGGCAAUUCUACCUCAUCAAGUGCUGGUGGCCGUUUAAGCCCUGAAGGGCGUGUCUCGAAGCCUGUCAGGAGAAGGUCUAGAGCUUCCCGGAGAACUCCCACAACGUUACUAAAUACAGAUACUACGAAUUUUCGGGCUAUGGCUCAGCAGUUUACUGGUGGUCCUAGUGCUCCUUUUGCUUCAGGAUCACAGCUUAGUGCACCAAGUUUCGGUUUUUCGCUGAACCCACGCCAAGCCCAUGUUAACCCUAGUGCAGUUAU